AAUAACGACCUUGCAAUCUAGACUCUCACCCGCACCGCCCGCCAUCGACUUCAUAGUUGUGGCCCAACGCACGGGACACGUGUCGUGCGCACGAGGAGGCGGAUGGAAAAUGUCCGAUCCGCCAGAUGAUUAGCAUCAUUUCCCAUUUUUUUAGUUCAUUUUGGAGAUGAAUUUCGCAUAAGCCACAUAUAUCUGGAUAUCCAGCUCCUCCAAUUCACAAACACGACAAUUUUGCUCAUAUGGUGUGGGAACUUAAAUGACUAAGCUAUGUCUAAAUUAGAUCGAAUACGAUCGCAAAGGCGAUCCAGCGGCAACGGAGUGUGAGCGUGAGUGAGAUGGCGGCCCCGCCAGGGGAGGGGGCUAUCCUCCUGGAGUGGCCCUCGAAUGGGGUAUCUUCAGCGUGCGGGGUUGGGAGGAAAUCAGGGCGAAAUCAAGGCGAAUCGUGGACCGGACGACAUAUGAGAAUAAAAGUUAAAAGAAAUUUUCAGCAGUUUGGAAGGACCUAGCAUGGACAAGAAGGAUAUCCGUUGGAGUGGGAUCAAGCAUGGAGAAGAAGGUGCACAUGCGGGAAAGAACAGAGGAGCUUUCACUGGUGAUUUUUGCACUUUAAAGCCACCAUAAGGAGAGCACGAAGGCUUGGACGAAAUAUUUAAGACGCUACUUUAUAAAUUUCGUUCAUAGGCUAUUAUAGAUGUUGCACGACCUUAUUUUUGGGCCAGGCCCAUGUAAUUUCGAAAUACCAUAUUAUAGGCUAUUUUUAGAGUCUGUAUGUGUGGGGAAACCGAGUUUAGGAUUGUUUUCGGACUCCUCCUCCAAGGGUCACGAAAUUCCCUCGCUAUUUCCUCAUAUAUAUAGCCCUUAGGGCACCAUUUAGACU